GAUUGGGCACUUUUGGGGUCACGGAGUCCGGCCCUACCUGACUUGGGGGGGGGGUUGGGGGCCCACGCGGAGCCGUCGUGCAAAACACCACCCUCGUGCAAAACGCCAUCCUCGUGCAAAAGGCCAUCCUUGUGCAAACGCAUCCUUUCGCAAACACAACCCUCGUGCAAAUGUCACCCUUGCGCAAAUGCCGUCCUCGUGCCAACACCAUCCUUGCACAAACGCCAUCCUUGCACAAACGCCAUCCUCGUGCAAACGCCAUCCUCACGCAAACACCACCGUCAAACACCACCCUCGUGCAAACACUACCCUCACACAAACACCAUCUUUGUGCCAACACCAUCCUUGCACAAACACCAUCCUCGUGCCAGCACCAUCCUUGCACAAACACCGUUCUCGUGCAAACAACAUCCUUGCACAAACGCCGCCCUUGUGCAAACACCAUCCUUGCGCAAACACCAUCCUCGUGCAAACACCAUCCUCACACAAACACCGCCCUCGUGCAAACCACAUCCUCACGCAAACACCGCCCUCGUGCAAACACCAUCCGUGCACAAGCGCCGCCCUUGCACACACUGCUGUGCACACACGAUUUCAAUCAAUCCUUGUGCACCACACGGAUGCAUGCUUUGUGCACACACUUGCACGCACAGCGCACUCGCACGCUUUUCCUCGUGUGCAAUAGCCUCGUGCACACGCCAUCCUCGUGCGCGCAAAAACAGUGAGCUCGCCGUUCUUGUGCACACUCACCCUCAUGCUUGCACGAUGCGCACACUCACACCGCUCUCAGCUUUGUGCUCUCGCGCUCCUUGCACGCCUGCGCACACUUGUGCCACUCACCCGCGCCAUGACCCUCGUGUCCCUUGCACGCGCCUCAUCCUCGCACACCGCGUGCUCACACCCGUGCACUCACACACUCGUGCUCCCGGCACACUUGCGCACACUCACGCACUUGUGUCCUCGCACACACGGGCACUCACACGCUCGUGCCACCCACCUGCGCUCUCAGCCCUCCGCUCCUCACGCGCUCGUGCCGCUCUCACCCUCGUGCUCCUCGCACGCUCGUGCGCUCACACUCGUGUGCUUUGGGCAGGGGGCGGGGUUAUGGGGUUUUAG
rnacentral:lncRNA from 1 species